rnacentral:rRNA from 1 species
GAUGAACGCUGGCGGCGUGGAUAAGGCAUGCAAGUCGAACGACCCUUGUGUUUACAUAAGGGGAGUGGCAAACGGGGUAGUAACAGGUAGGUACAUACACAUGAGUCAGGGAUAACGCUGGGAAACCAGUGCUAAUACCUGAUAGUUCUCUACGGAGUAAAGAUUUAUCGCUCAUGAAAUGGCCUGCUCGGUAUCAGCUAGUUGGUAGUGUAAAGGACUACCAAGGCAGUGACGCCUAGGGGAGGUGAGAGCCUGACCCCCACCAUUGGAACUGAGACACGGUCCAAACUCCUACGGGAGGCUGCAGUCGAGAAUCUUCCGCAAUGCACGAAAGUGUGACGGAGCGACGCCGCGUGGUAGAUGAAGUCCUUCGGGAUGUAAAUACCUUUUAUACGCGAAGAAGUAUAUUGACAUUAACGUAUGAAUAAGAGGUUCCUAAACUCG